rnacentral:rRNA from 1 species
CUUGGUCAUUUAGAGGAAGUAAAAGUCGUAACAAGGUUUCCGUAGGUGAACCUGCGGAAGGAUCAUUCAUAAUAAGUGUUUUAUGGCACUUUUUAAAUCCAUAUCCACCUUGUGUGCAAUGUCAGUCGAUCUUCUUCAUGGAGAUCGACCAAACAUCAACCUUUAUUUUUUAACUCUUUGUCUGAAAAAUAUUAUGAAUAAACAAUUCAAAAUACAACUUUCAACAACGGAUCUCUUGGCUCUCGCAUCGAUGAAGAACGCAGCGAAAUGCGAUACGUAAUGUGAAUUGCAGAAUUCAGUGAAUCAUCGAAUCUUUGAACGCAUAUUGCGCUCUUUGGUAUUCCGAAGAGCAUGCUUGUUUGAGUAUCAGUAAACACCUCAAAGCUUUUGGAUUUUUUAAUCGAAAAGCUUUGGACUUGAGCAAUCCCAACACCAAUCUUUUUGAGAUCGGUGGCGGGUUGCUUGAAAUGCAGGUGCAGCUGGACAUUCUCCUGAGCUAAAAGCAUAUUCAUUUAGUCCCGUCGAACGGAUUAUUACUUUUGCUGCAGCUAACAUAAAGGGAGUUUGACCGUAUUGGCUGACUGAUGCAGGAUUUCACAAGGGUCGGCAACGAUUCUUGUUAAACUCGAUCUCAAAUCAAGUAAGACUACCCGCUGAACUUAAGCAUAUCAAUAAGCGGAGGA